CGCAUCUGUGCAUGCAGCAUAUCAAUAAGCGGAGGAAAAGAAACUAACAAGGAUUCCCCUAGUAACGGCGAGUGAAGCGGGAAGAGCCCAAAUUUGAAAUCUUAAAGGGUUUCCCUUUACGAAUUGUAGUUUAAAGAAGUGUUUUCUGUUGAGGUUUUGGUAAAAGUUCUUUGGAAUAGGACAUCAUAGAGGGUGAGAAUCCCGUAUUUGACCUUUACUUUCAACUUUGUGAUACACUUUCAAAGAGUCGGAUUGUUUGGGAAUGCAGUCCAAAAUGGGUGGUAAAUUUCAUCUAAAGCUAAAUAUUGGCGAGAGACCGAUAGCGAACAGGUACCGUGGGGGAAAGAUGAAAAGAACUUUGAAAAGAGAGUUAAACAGUACGUGAAAUUGUCAAAAGGGAAGCGUUUGACACCAGUGUUGUUUUUCUGAAAAUCAAUUAAAGAACUGUUUAUGCUAAGCUGUUUAGACUUUAUCAGCUAUCUGUUUAGUUUUGAGCUUUUCUUUAAUGCACUUUUCAGUUAACAAGUCAACAUCAAUUUCUUUUGCUGUAAAAAAGCUUGAGGAAGGUGGCUUGAGAUUCGUCUUAAGUGUUUAUAGCCUCUUGCCUAUGCAGUCGGAGAGAUUGAGGUCUGCAGCGUAGAUCCUUCGGGGCUAAAUGCAUUUGUGCUAAGUUAUAGCAUUUCAUAGACAACUUGUUGACUAUGAUUUGUCUUGUAGCUUACUCGCUUAUGUUAUUUUACCUACGCUUAGGAUGUUGACAGCAGUAUAGACUGU
rnacentral:rRNA from 1 species